GUUGGCCGGAAGUGGAGAGGAGCAAAGAUGGAGAAACGGCCCAAACGAAAGGGGGGCGCUGAAAAAUUGCGCGAAAAAAGGCUUAAAAGCCUGCAAGUCGAUGCAGCAAAAUGCAGCAAAAUAAGCGACAUGUUUGCCGUUGCUUCCACUACUUCACCUGCGGCAGCGAGUGCUGCCGCCAGGAUAGAAAAAGAAGCCGAAGUUCAGGGGGAGUCGGAGGAAAAGGAGCAGGAGGAGGAGGAGGAGGAGGACGGAGGGAGAGACGUGACACAGCAGGGACAGAUCGAGGAGGUCAGAUUAGCUCCUGUUAGCCCGGUAACAAGUAUCAUAUAUUCUCAGUGGAUCGAAAAGAAGCAGAUGACAGAAUGCUAAUUAAAACAAGAAGAGACAUGAUAAAAUUAAUUUAUAGAGACUUGAGCUAGCAUGCAGUCAGAAAGACAAUGGAAUGACAGAAAUGAUAACAAUGAAAAUGUUUUUGAGAUGUGUGUAAUAAUAAUAAUAAUAAUAAUAAUAAUAACAAACGUAAAAAGGUUAGAAAAAGUAAAAAGAAUGAAUACAGAGACACAUCUUCACUCAAUAUCUGGAGAAACUAGGCUAAAAGUGUGCAAACGCUCAACAUGGGAAAUUAUCACAAGACUCAGAGUUAAAACAUGCAUAAUAAUAUUAGCCUAUAGACUUUUGUGCACAACCUUGUCCUUGCUGGUUUGGAGGUGGUCACCCUAGUGUGUGUGUGUGUGUGUGUGUGUGUGUGUGUGUGUGUGUGAGUGAGUGUGAGAGAGAGAGAGAGAGAGAGAGAGAGAGAGAGAGAGAGAAUUGUCUCUUUAGAGUUGUUUUCAAAUAAUGCUAUACGUAGAGUUGGUGUCUAACUUACAGUGUUAUUUUAGCUUUCCAGAAAAUUGAUAAAUUUGCAGGUGUUACAGCUUACAGUUAUUAUUAUCAUAUAAUAUUAGUAAGACAUUGCUUUGCUGAAAAGGACGAUUUAUCAUUGGUAGGUAACCAAUGCUAGUGAAAUUAACAUUCCUGCCUCUCUCUCUUUCUCUGUGUUUAGUCAAGCCAGGCUGUUGAAAUAGAAGUGGAAGAGUCACAGGGAGAUCAGGCAGUUAUAGACUACUUUAGCCACCCUCAUUCCACAAAGAGGCAGGACUUCUUUAAGUUUCACCCACAACAGGAUGCCACAAACCCUGUCGUCCAGAGGCUCUUCACCAGAACGAGUGACAUGGCAUGGAAAUGGCUGACUUAUUGUGGUCAACGCCAUGCUUUAUUUUGUUUUGUUUGCCUGGCUUUUAGCAAGCCCAAUGAUCCAAGUAUUUUCAUUAGAGGCAUGACAGACUGGAGGCACGUGCACCAAAGAAUAGAAGAGCAUGAGAGAGGCAUGGCACAUAGACAGUGUGCUGAGGCAUAUUUUCUGAACUGCUCCAGAGCAAGCAUUGGUCACCUCCUUGAGGGAAGACAGCUGACAGGGCACCGUGAGCAGGUUAAGAAGAGACGUCAGGUUUUGGAACGUGUAGUGGAGGUUGUGAAAGUCAUAGGGAAGAGAGGCUUAAGCUACAGGCAAGAGCACAAUGAAGCUGCGUACACCUUGGACAACGACAGUAUCGAUCAUGGCAAUUUCCUCGAAUUAAUUAUAUUGUUGGGGAAAUAUGAUGUGUGCUUGAAAGAGCACCUCAGCAGUGUAAUUGAAAAAAGCAAGCAGAUCCAUGCUUCGGGCACACAAGGCAGAGGCUCUCUGAUCACCCUCCUGUCCAAAACAACUGUGAAUGCAGUAAUCGAUGCUAUCAAGCAUUUAAUUGAAGAGAGCAUCUCUGCAGACAUCAAGAAAGCAGGGAUGUUUUCUGUGCAGCUUGACACUACUCAAGAUAUUACAGAGAGAGAUCAGUGUUCUGUGAUUUUGAGGUAUGUCACGGAUGCAAUCCACGAAAGGCUGGUUGCAGUCAUACAAUGCAGCACAACUACAGGUCAGUCUUUUGUGACUCUGUUGACUGAUGUACUGGAACGUCUGAAGUUGGACAUAGGCCGGUGCAUCAGCAACUCCACAGAUGGAGCAUCUAAUAUGCAGGGUCAAUACAGAGGUUUCUCUGCAUUAAUGGCAUCCAAAAACCCUACCCAUCAGCAUGUGUGGUGCUAUGCACAUGUCCUUAACCUCGUAUUGUCCGAUACCACCCAUAGCGUCAUUGAAAGUGCAUCACUAUUUGACUUGUUGAACGACAUUGCUGUAUUCAUCAAGGAAUCAUAUGCAAGAGUGAAUGUGUGGGAAACCGUGAACCAGGACAAGAGGCACAAGCGCAUUUCACCAGUUGGAGAAACAAGAUGGUGGGCCAAACAUGAUGCCCUGAGGAAAGUUUUUGGAAACUACGGCAAACCUCAUGACGGCCUUUUUGUUGAAGUGGUGUCCACACUCUCUGCCAUCAUGAAGCUGAAGACACUUGCAUCAAAUGCACGAAACAAAGCUAGAGGAUACCGAGAUGGCUUACUCCGAUAUGAGACUGUGCUGACAGCUCAGUUAUUUCUCCGGAUAUUUGAGAUCACCUCAGCACUAUCAAAAUACCUACAGACCGGAGGAAUGGACAUCCUCUCAGCAUAUAGAAUGGUCACCACAACACAAGAUUCACUGACAGAGAUAGCAAGAGAUUUCCCAGCCGUCAAAGAUGCAGCUGACUGUUUUGUCCAUUGGGCAAAUGAAAAGCUAGAGGAGCAGGAUGAACUAGGUUUGGAAGUGGAGGCUGCACUGCCUCAGAAAAGGGUGAAGAGGAAGAAAGUCUUGCCAGGAGAGAUGGCCCAGGAUGAAAGCCUCAGUGAUUCAGAAAAGGCCUAUGAGAUCAAUGUUCACCACCAGAUUAUCGAUACAGCGGUUGAGGCCAUGCACAAAAGAUUCUCCACCCAUGGCACCCUGUAUGCAGAUUUAUCCCUCCUACAUCCUAGAAACUUCCCCCUUAUCCACACCAGUGCUCUCCCUGAAUCUGCACUUGAAGGGCUCAGCAAGUGCCUAGUUGUGUAUGACAGCAGGGCAACUGCUACCAAUCUACAAAGUGAACUGAGAAACUUGGCACAGCAAUGGGACAGGCUGGUACAAUCACCCUUGGAUGACUAUGCAACUAGAGCAGUUGAAGAGGAAUCGGAUGAUCAAGAAGAGAUGGACAUGAUAAGCAAAACCUGUGCCUCUUGCAAAGAGUGCCCCCUGUGCUGCUACAAAGUCCUUCUCAGAUUUAACAUGCUGACUCAUGCAUACCCUCUACUUGGUUUGGCAUACAAGUUUUUGCUGACCCUAUCAGUAACUCGGGUAGCCUGUGAGCGGUCAUUUUCAACCCUCCACUACAUCAAAAACAGACUGAGGAGUAGCCUGUCCGCCAGCAAACUGGAAGCCUUCAUGUUGAUGGCCACUGAAAAGGAUGUCCUUGUGUCCCUUGAUACUGACACAGUGAUUGACAGAGUUGCAGAGAAGACUGAAUUAAUGAAGAAACUACUCUUGUAAGGGUGCCCCUGCUGUUUGAGUUGUUCAAGUUCAUUCAUUCAAGUUCAUUCGUUCAUAAUCAUUCAGUUUCAUUGCCUUGCUACAUAUUCAUUCUUGAGGAUUAUCGGAUGGCUAAUCAACAUUUUCUUCACCGGCUGAUCUGUCCCCCAGGGAUGUUCCAGGGAUGUGCCUUUCAUUGGUGUGGACUUCACAGGCAUUCUUCACAUUUGGCAUAUUUGGAGUGAAGGUCUACCUUUCCCUGAUGUGGAGUUUACAUGUUUUCCUUUUCUAUCAUUAGCAGCAAGGUCCAUGCAGCCUUUUGUCUCAGCAUAUGUUCCAUUUUGGUGAAGAGCUCCACUUUUAAUUCAAGUUGGUAAUUUUGACGCUUUGAAAUAAAAUUUUAAAUAAAGUCUCUGUGAGAAGUGAUAGAGUGUAUCUUUUUUUUUUAACAUGGUUGCUCUCUUCCACAUAGGCUGCUGCGUUUUAUUUUAAUUUUUGAAACAAUACAAUGUGCACAUAUAUCCUCUGGUAUGUCGUAUGCCUUGGCAUAUUGUAUAAAUAAUCAUGGUGGGCCGCCAUGACCAAAAAUGCCAGGGCCGUAUUUUGGUCCCAGUCCAGCCCUGUUGUUGGGUAAGCCUGACUUAAAACAGUCGUACACAGCCAGCGUCACCUUUGCCUGAUCACUGAUCAAUCAGCUCACUGGAAGUAUUGGAACCAAGGAGUUCACAGCCAAAAACACACAUUUUCAAUAAAAAGAAAAAACAAAGACAGUGAUGAAAAAUAUUAAGCAUUUCCAUUUCCCUGCUACUGCGAGUUACUUUACUUAAAAACUCACCAUAAAUUUUAUAAAAAUACAACACAUUACUAAAGUUUUAAUUGACAGUUCUCACCAUGUUAUGACAACACUCCUUUGCAGACACACACUUGAACAGCCAUAUGCACCACAGACACACAGUUGUUGCUUUUAUACUACUUUUCUAGUCAGCUGCUGCCCGCUUGGAGGAUCCAUUCCAUACAUGCAUAGUAGAUCAAAUUAUGUGCAUGCACUCUACUGCUACCACACUACUGCACAUUGUCACGUAGUCACUGUGCAAACUGUCUGUGUGUGUGUGUUAAUGACAAUAACAAACUCAUGAUUGCAACUAUAGAUGCGUAACUGUGCAAGGUAUUGUGCGUAGUUAACUCAGUAAAUCAUAAAUGCAACAUUUCAGUCAUGCAGACCUGAUCAGGUGUUCAUUUCUUUUUUCCUUUUAUUCAGUGUCAGCAGUUUGAUUGAAUUUUGACAGAAUCACCUUAUAAACAGGCUGGCAAACUUUUCACUAUAAAAUUAAACUUUAGAAAUGUUUUUUAAAUUUAGUGGUGGGUGCACGGACUGCACAGUAUCUCUGUGGUUAGCACUGUCGCCUUACAGCUAGAAGAUCCCUGGUUCACGUCCCUGGGCCUAGGAUCUUUCUGUAUGGAGUUUGUGUGUUCUCUCUGUGUAUGUAUGGGUUUUCUCGGUGUACUCACGCUUCCUCCCACACUUCAAAAACAUGCUAAGGUUAAUUGGUGAUUCUUAAUUGGCCUCAGGUGUGAAUGUGAGUGUGAUUAUUUGUUUCUAUAUGUAGCCCUGUGAUAGACUGGUGACCUGUCCAGGGUGUCCCCUGUCUUCACCUUAAGUCAGCUGGGAUAAACUCCAGCCCCCUGCGACCCUAAUGAGGAUUUAAGCGGUGUAUAGAUAAUGGAUGGAUGGUUAGUUUGCAACGAUGUAAAUGUAACUCCAUUAGUAGUUUUAUACUAUAUAAGAACAAGAGGCCUUCUUCCCAACCCCUUUUUAGGAGUGUAAAAAUGUCUUCUAUUGUUGACCGCAGACCUUUUGACCCUUGGGCACUUCUUCAUCACUUGUGCUACCAGAAGGUUGUUCUACGAACAAAAAUAGUUCCACAGCAAGGACACGUGUACAUAAAAUGGACACAUAGAUUAUAAAUGAUAAUCUAACAAGUCAUGAUUGAUUUUACUUUCACAAAAGGCAAGUCUUGACCCCACAGCAUCCUGCCGUCUUAGUACCUGGGCUUUGUUUUCAGAUCUCUGACACUUCUCUUGUUGUGGUCUUUCAGACAUUUGAAUACCUGUUUUUUUUUUUUGUUUUGUUUUGUUUUGUUUUUAGCUUUUCCCAGCUCUGCUUUAAAUUGUGAUGUAUCCCAGGGCUAUCCAACUGAGUAUUAACUCUUCCUGAUCACUCAGAAUCUUUCUGGACUAUACUGAUAGUUUAAUAAGCAAAAUAAAGCCAGCACCUACUUGUCCAUUCUUUGCUUUUACUUUCCGUGUUCUUUGUCUUACUUGUGGUAGCUGAUAUUUAAAAAAUUGUACUUGCUGCUGUUGUCCUCUCUGAGUUUAACUACUCGGCAAGACCCUCGAGGAAGGUUUUAGGACGGCUCAGAAGUACACACCCUGGGGUAGUUAUGUUUUCCCCCAUUUAAACGGCAAUGAAAGAGAUUCUACAUGGGCAGGUCAAGUGGUUGGAACUUGCUCAAAGGUUAGGGCUGCUAACAUUAAUAUUUUGCUCAAAUGGUCCACACUUGUAUAGUGCCUUUAACUUAAGCUGGUUUCAACAAAAAACUUUAGAAUUUGUUUCUUAUUCACACACACUCACACACCAUGCAAGGUGUUCACCUGCCAUGAGUUCAGUGGCAAGUAUUAGUUUGCUUGUAUUGAGACAAAAUCUGACAAUCUUGACAACUGCAUCACUGAGAAUAAUUUUUGGGAUCUAAAAUUUCUGUUAUUUGUUCUAUACUAGUUGUGUUGUCGAAUGAUUUGUGGACUGUAAUUAACAACGCUCCCUCAUAAUGUUUAAAAUUCCUCUCCAGACCUGCUCAGAAAUACGUAUUACUGUGCUUUUGUCUCUGAAAAAGCCACAUUUAUGAAUACGCAAAUACUUUUCACUUCAAAAGUAAACUACUGGACACAAGAUCUUUUUUUUCACUACCUUAAAUUCUAAAGAAUUUCAUUGUCUGCAGAAUUUUCCAGGUCAAUGACAAUCUUUUAUAUAGCAAGCUAUUUUUUAUCAGGGAAUGUGACCAGCACAAUCAGCACUUUCCAUCAAAUGGCACUUUACCCUGCAGUGUGUAUCAGUGUUUCUGUCUGUGAUGG